CAUGUCUGUCGUUACCAAUUACUCAGAUAUAGAAACUCACUCCUAAUAUAAGAAAUUAGCCACCUAUAAUCACUUACACACUGCUAUUUUCACUCCUCAGUUUAUUUUCAUAAAUGUUAAAGGCGCAUGGUGGACCCUGGGGACUCCUCCUGUCAGCCCAGUGCAGCAGCCCAAAGGGAGCUGGGUGGCUGCACAGGGACAGUCCUGGGUGGUUGCCCAUGUACAACUUUCCAGUUCUUUUUCAAGAACACCAUUUUUUAAGCAUCAUGCAUUUGAAAAAUCUCAUCUGUAGGAAGCCUGUAGGAAGAUAAAUAGGAAAACGCUGAGAUGAGGGUGACUUUUCACAUCCAUUUGGGAUAUUGUUCUAUGCUGGGAGCACGUGUGCUCAUGUCUAGAAGCAGAAGACCUGGGAUGAAGGCACCAGCAUUAACUCAUG